rnacentral:rRNA from 1 species
CGAGCGAAGCUUUUCAGUAGUUUACUACAGAAAAUGACUGAGCGGCGAACGGGUGAGUAACGCGUGAGCAAUCUACCUUAGUUACAGGGAUAGCCCGAGGAAACUCGGAUUAAUACCUGAUAUUCUUUAAAUUUCGCAUGAAAUUAAAAGGAAAGGUCAGCCGAACUAAGAUGAGCUCGCGUUCUAUCAGCUAGUUGGUGAGGUAAAAGCUCACCAAGGCAACGACGGAUAGCUGGUCUGAGAGGACGAUCAGCCACACUGGGACUGAGACACGGCCCAGACUCCUACGGGAGGCUGCAGCAGGGAAUAUUGCGCAAUGAGCGAAAGCUUGACGCAGCGACACCGCGUGUGGGAUGACGGAUCUAGGUUUGUAAACCACUUUCAGGAGGGAAGAAAAUGACGGUACCUCCACAAGAAGCCCCGGCCAACUACGUGCCAGCAGCCGCGGUAAUACGUAGGGGGCGAGCGUUGUCCGGAUUUAUUGGGCGUAAAGAGCUCGUAGGCGGUUCAACAAGUCGGUCGUAAAAGUUCAGGGCUCAACCCUGAAAUGUCGAUCGAUACUGUUGUGACUAGGAUACGGUAGAGGUGAGUGGAAUUCCGAGUGUAGCGGUGAAAUGCGUAGAUAUUCGGAGGAACACCAAUUGCGAAGGCAGCUCACUGGGCCGCUAUCGACGCUGAGGAGCGAAAGCUAGGGGAGCAAACGGGAUUAGAUACCCUGGUAGUCCUAGCUGUAAACGAUGGAUACUAGACGUAGGAACUGGAUUGACGGUUUCUGUGUCGUAGCUAACGCGUUAAGUAUCCCGCCUGGGGAGUACGGUCGCAAGACUAAAACUCAAAGGAAUUGACGGGACCCCGCACAAGCGGCGGAGCAUGCGGCUUAAUUCGAUGAUAGCCGUAGAACCUUACCUGG